rnacentral:rRNA from 1 species
UAUGAACGCUGGCGGCGUGCCUAAUACAUGCAAGUCGAACGGACAGACGAGGAUCUUGCUCCUCUGACGUUAGCCGAAGACGUGUGAGUAACAUGUGUAUAACCUACCUAUCAGACUGAUAUAACUACGAGAAACCGGCGCUAAUCGCAGAUAAGAUAUUGAACCACAUUGUUCAAUAGUGAAAGACGGCUUUUCUGUCACUUAUAGAUGGAUCUGCGCCGCAUUAGCUAGUUGGUAAGGUAACGGCUUAUCAAGGCAACGAUGCGUAGCCGACGUGAUAGAGUGAUCGGCCACACUGGAACUGAGACACGGACCAUAGUACUACGGGAGGGCGCAGUAGGCAAUCUUCCGCAGUGGGCGAGAGCCUGACGGAGCAACGCCGAGUGUGUUAUAGAGGUCUUCGGAUCGUAAAACUGUGUUAUUAGGUAAGAACAAAUGUGUAAGUAAAUAUGCACUUCUUGACGGUACUGAAUCAGAAAGCCACGGCUAACUACGUG